GAACUUAGCAGAGAUGCUUUGGUGCCUUUCGGGAACUCUGAGACAGGUGCUGCAUGGCUGUCGUCAGCUCGUGUUGUGAAAUGUUGGGUUAAGUCCCGCAACGAGCGCAACCCUUUAUCCUUUGUUGCCAGCGGUCCGGCCGGGAACUCAAAGGAGACUGCCAGUGAUAAACUGGAGGAAGGUGGGGAUGACGUCAAGUCAUCAUGGCCCUUACGAGUAGGGCUACACACGUGCUACAAUGGCGCAUACAAAGAGAAGCGACCUCGCGAGAGCAAGCGGACCUCAUAAAGUGCGUCGUAGUCCGGAUUGGAGUCUGCAACUCGACUCCAUGAAGUCGGAAUCGCUAGUAAUCGUGGAUCAGAAUGCCACGGUGAAUACGUUCCCGGGCCUUGUACACACCGCCCGUCACACCAUGGGAGUGGGUUGCAAAAGAAGUAGGUAGCUUAACCUUCGGGAGGGCGCUUACCACUUUGUGAUUCAUGACUGGGGUGAAGUCGUAACAAGGUAAGCGUAGUGCU
rnacentral:rRNA from 1 species